rnacentral:tRNA from 1 species
GCACGCUUAGCUCAGUUGGUAGAGCGCCCGCCUGAUACGCGGAAGGUCCUAGGUUCGAGCCCUAGAGCGUGCACAA